CUGACGCAGUUUAGGUGCUCUUGGCGAAACUAAAUCGAUAAAGACGCGGCGGUCGUGCUUCACACUCGAUGAUUUGCUGCCGAGGGGUAUAGAUUUUCCGACUGCUUUUUAGCUUUUUAUUUAUGCUGAAACGGGGAAAUUUGGGGGCAAAGACGUCCGAAAAGACAUAGGGGAGAAAUUAGACUUUAUUUUGUGUUGGUGGUUUGGGACACGUGUCUCGGAGUUUUUUCGUUUAAAAAAUAAUUCGACUGAGCAAAAUUUGGGCUUUGAUAAGCAAAAAAAUGAUUUUUAAUCAGUCGCCCUAUACGUAGCUUGGGCCUCCAUGACUUAAGCUCCGUCCCCCGAUGCAUAAAUCAGCCCCCCCUGACUGUAAUGGACCAAUCCAAAUGAGUGAAGUGUCUAUGAUAGACAAUAAAGCGUGGAAAUGUUCGGAGGCGAACAACGGCUACCUAAAGCAAAAAAGCGUUCCUGAAGAGUCGCUCCUCGGCUCCACCGCCGUGACGACCGUCGUCCAAGUCUCCGGGACCGGAACCAAGACCAUGGUGGUGCCCCGGAACAAACAAGCCAAAGACAAAUGCCUUGUAGCGGCCGUUUUCGCACUCAUCAUUUUCUCUCUAGUCUUACUUUUCAUGGUGUUCAGCACUCGCACCCACCAAUGUAUCGAUAGCAGAAGUAGUGUUUGUCUUACGGAGGAAUGCGUGAGGACAGCGGCGUCCCUUUUGGGCGCCAUGGACCACACGGCGGACCCUUGCGUGGACUUUUUCCAAUACGCCUGCGGCACGUGGAACAAGAAGCACGUGAUCCCUGAAGACCGUAGUUCAAUCAGCACGUUCGAAGUAAUGGCAGACCAGCUCCAGGUCAUCCUCAAAGGCGUCCUCGAGGAGCCCAUUAACCUCGAAGACAACGAGGCCACACGCAAGGCCAAAACCUUCUACAACACGUGCAUGGAUAUUCUCCAGAUUCGGAAAAUUGGAGAUGCUCCACUCCGGSAGGUUCURGACGGACUAGGAGGCUGGCCAGUGACCCGACCUGACUGGACUCCCCCCAKCUUCUCCAUCGAGGUGCUUCUCGGGAGGAUUAGGGGGGUGUACAAUGAGGGGGUUCUCAUCGAGCAGUGGGUCGGUCCGGAUGACAAGAACAGCUCAGUUAACAUCAUCCAGAUGGACCAAAUGCAGUUGGCGUUGCCCAGUCGAGACUACUAUCUCAAAGCAAGUAGCGAGGGCGACAUGACUGCUUAUCACAAGUAUAUGACGAAUAUUGCUGUUCUUCUUGGUGCCAAUAAAACAACAGCUAAGGAGGAACUACAAGAAGUUGUCGAUUUUGAAAGAAGAUUGGCGAAUGCCUCGUUACCGGAAGCUGACCGCCAUGACACUUCCGCCAUCUACCGAAAAUUAACUCUACAAGAGUUACAAACGAUCGUCCCUCAAAUCAAGUGGUUGGAAUACCUCCGAUCCUUCCUCGAUGUCGACAUCGAUGACCAAGAACCCGUCGUUGCUUACGGACUUUCCUAUUUCAUCGAAAUGGGAAAAAUCCUCGCCGAGACAAACCAAAGAGUUAUCCACAAUUAUGUCUUGUGGCGUCUCAUUAUGUCCCUGUCACCUCACAUGAUUGACGAUUAUCAGAAAGAACGCGUCGAAUUUAGAAAAAUCCUCCAAGGAGUGCUCAGUGAGAGGCAUCGAUGGUCCCAAUGCGUCGAAUGGACCAAUAAAAAACUCGGAAUGGCUGUUGGAGCACUUUUCAUCAGAGACAACUUCAAUCACGAUAGCAAAGAAACUGCACUUACGAUGAUACAUACGAUUCGAGAGGCGUUUAACGAGUUGUUGGCUGAGAAUGAUUGGAUGGAUGACGAAACGAGGGCCGUGGCCAAGGAAAAAGCAGACGCUAUGAACGAGAGGAUUGGAUAUCCGCAGUUGAUCACCAACAAACAGGAGUUGGUCAAGGAGUACUCCUCGUUGAAUAUCACCAAAACUGAGUUCAUGACGAACGUUUUGAAUAUUUUAAAAUACGAUGCGGAGCAAAAUCUGCAAAAAUUGAGACAGUCGGUCGAUAAAGACAAAUGGUCGACGGAACCGGCGGUCGUUAACGCCUUCUACAACCCGAACAAGAACGAUAUUGUGUUUCCUGCCGGUAUCCUGCAACCGCUGUUCUACAGUCAGCAUUUCCCCAAAUCUCUGAAUUACGGCGGAAUUGGAGUGGUCAUAGGUCAUGAAAUAACGCACGGGUUCGACGAUAAAGGCCGGCAGUUUGAUAAGGAUGGAAAUAUGAUGCAAUGGUGGAACAACGCGACGAUCCGGGCUUUCCGGGAGCGCACCCAAUGCAUAAUUGACCAGUAUUCGCGAUACAAAAUUGAUGAAGUGGGGCUCUACGUCAACGGGCGCAUGACCCAAGGCGAGAACAUCGCCGACAACGGCGGACUGAAGCAGUCAUUCCGGGCAUACCGUAAGUGGGUGUCCCAGCACGGGGAAGAGCCCGACUUGCCGGGCUUGAACCUGACCCACGACCAGCUGUUUUUCCUCAACUACGCCCAAAUCUGGUGCGGGUCCAUGCGCCCGGAGGACGCCCUGACCAAAGUCCGGUCCAGCGUCCACUCACCCGGACCCAUCCGGGUGUUGGGCCCUCUCUCCAACUCGUGGGAUUUCGCCAAAGCUUACGAUUGUCCGCUCGGUUCGCCGAUGAACCCGACUAACAAAUGUAGCGUUUGGUAAAAUUGGACUUUUCACGCGCUCUAUGUCAAGUGUCUCGUUGUAUUUGCUAAAUUUAACACWUUCGUCUAUAUUAUCGGGCCUUUGUAGCGGGGCCCCACACCUAACUUGUGCAAUGUAAAUAUUAUUGUUUUAUAUAAAAGUGUACGCAAUUUUACAUGUAAUAAACCUACUUUCCUAUUCUAAACAUGGUCUGUACUAAUAUACAAAAUACCAACACGAGCUUCUAUCACCCGAAAAACUGUCAAUCAAGUAAAAGCACUGAUUUCCUUCAUUUAUAAUACGUGCACAAAACAUUGAAUUUUGUAUUCAUAAUUAAUAAAAUAAGUCAAAUGUCGCCUUUGAG